CAACUUUCUUCGACGCUACUCUGAACUAACUUCUGAAUUCCUAUACAUUAUUUUUAAUGCAUCCCUUAAACAGAGCUCAGUACCAAAAGGCUGGCUCAUGGCCAAGGUAAUACCGGUGUUUAAAUCAGGUGAUAAACUUAUUCCUAGCAAUUACAGACCUAUUUCCCUCGUAAGCGCAUGUUGUAAGCUCUUGGAGCAUAUUAUCUCUAAUCACAUAUCUAACCACUUGGAAGGUCCUCAACGCGCGACUGAAGAGGAAUGGAGCUUCAUGCUCAGGAGCUCAGACCUUCUACAUCAACUCAGGGCCGUUCAGAGGGCCCACAACGCUGCGAAUAUGGGACGCUCCAGAUCCUAUCGACAUGCAAUCUCGUCAUUGAGCGAGGCCGGACACUCUCCUUCCGAGGUCACCAAAAUUCUAAAAAUUCACCGCAAGAUUGUGUACUUGGCUCUCAAAUGUGGAACUCUUAAGGACUUAACACGCAGUGGUUGUCCUGUCUCUGUGGCCACUUCUCACUUUAAUAAAAUUGCCAGGAAGAAUCCAACGCAAGCCAUGGAGAAGCAUUAAAAGGCUGGCCUUAGCAGUAAAUCUGCUGCUGACAACAAU